rnacentral:rRNA from 1 species
GAGUUUGAUCAUGGCUCAGAUUGAACGCUGGCGGAAUGCUUUACACAUGCAAGUCGAGCGGCAGCGCGGGGCAACCUGGCGGCGAGCGGCGAACGGGUGAGUAAUGCAUCGGAACAUGUCCAUGUCGUGGGGGAUAGCCCGGCGAAAGCCGGAUUAAUACCGCAUACGCCCGAGAGGGGAAAGUGGGGGACCGCAAGGCCUCACGCGAUUGGGUUGGCCGAUGUCCGAUUAGCUAGUUGGCGGGGUAAAGGCCCACCAAGGCGAUGAUCGGUAGCUGGUCUGAGAGGAUGAUCAGCCACACUGGGACUGAGACACGGCCCAGACUCCUACGGGAGGCAGCAGUGGGGAAUUUUGGACAAUGGGGAAACCCUGAUCCAGCCAUUCCGCGUGAGUGAAGAAGGCC